UACGGGGGGGGUAAGCGUUGUUCGGAAUUACUGGGCGUAAAGGGCUCGUAGGCGGCCAACUAAGUCAUACGUGAAAUCCCUCAGCUUAACUUGGGAACUGCGUGUGAUACUGGAUGGCUUGGAUUUGGGAGAGGGAUGCGGAAUUCCAGGUGUAGCGGUGAAAUGCGUAGAUAUCUGGAGGAACACCGGUGGCGAAGGCGGCAUCCUGGACCAAUAUUGACGCUGAUGAGCGAAAGCUAGGGGAGCAAACGGG
rnacentral:rRNA from 1 species